rnacentral:lncRNA from 10 species
CCCCACCAAAACCUCUAAUAAGGCACACAGCUCUGCUGACAUCCCAUUUCAGUGUUUUGAGACCCUAAGCAGCAGACGACCCAGUUCAGCCCACCUGGAUUUCUGGCCCACAGAAACUCAAGAAUCAAAAUUCACUUUGCCCCAUGAUCUUCACCAGAACGGCAUACUUGCCUCUCCCCUCGUCAGAUUGAAAAGGUUCCUAUGAUUUAGGGUCUUCCAGCACCCCUCAGGAAGCUUGACAAUGAAGAGGAAUUAUUGAUGAAUGUGGAAAGGCCAGGGGGUGCACAUUCAUUUUUAAUGACUACACACCUUCCCUUGACUAAAUGGAAUCAAUCCUUCCUGCCUGAAUUUCAUCCAUUCAUCAUGCUCUCACAGUGGCUGACACACAGUAGGAACUCAAUAUUUAUUUGUUGGAUAAAUUUUUAAAAAGAUAUAACUUACUUGUAUCACUAAAUUUUGUAUAUGAAGUGAAAUAUGGCUGUCUGAGAAAAUAGGACAAUUGAGUUUAUGGAAGAAAAAAGUGCAGAUAAAGAUUAAAGGUCAAAUACUUC